GGGACAACAGGAGUUGGGAGGGAGAGGAGUUACAGAACUUUCCAGCAGGACCUCAGGAGAACGCCUGGACACGGACAGGAACCCCCAACCCCUCAGGGACCCCCUUGGACCCUUUGAGUGCUCCUGAUCAUGGAAGCCACCAGCCUCCCGAUUCCUCAGCUGUGGCCUUGGCAGUGCCCUCUGGACAUUUGACUUAAACGCUAUGCUCUUCAGCAGAGUGGAGAGCUCUCCUCACAGGCUCUGGCUUCUGGUUGUCCUCUUGCCCCAGCGCUGUGGGCCCAGGUUAGAAAGACUUCCUGAGGACGGGCUCCCUCGGGAGGAUCCCCAGGCUGAGAUGUAAACUUUCCCAUGUCAAUCAUCUGGGGGUCGCUAUUCUUUUUUAUCAGAGUGCCUCCCCACCUUGGUUGAAAGCUGCCUGCCACUGCCCUGGACCUAUGGCUGCUACAAGCCCACGUUCACAUCUUUAAUCCUUCAUGG
rnacentral:lncRNA from 1 species